rnacentral:ncRNA from 21 species
AUAGUCUCAUCGAAACCAGUACUCUGCUUCCGACGCACGAUACCUCUAUGGCACGCAGGGAGCGAGUCCGGACGCCUCACCCCCGUCGAGGCGGCCGGAGCAGUUCAAGCGGACAUCCAUGCGGCUUUCAGCCGGCCCCGAGUGGAUGUCCGCCGAUUUUUUU